rnacentral:lncRNA from 1 species
AUCAAAAGAGCUGUUCUUACUUUACCAAGCACAGAUAGCUGAUUCAAUGGAGAAAAUUCCAUGUUAUGUUAUUUUCUUCAACUGAAUCAUUUUUAAAUCAAACUGCAAUCCAGCCUGACUCAAUCAUUCACUGAACACAUUAUAUUUGAAUGAGAGAGCUUUAAAUUUACAUAUUUAAUUUUACCACCACCUGGUGGGCAACCAGUGUCAUGUGACACUGUGAUUGUACUUCAUAGCAGACAUUUUUGCUGGUGGAUACAUACAUACAUACAGAAAGCAAGAUCAUAUCUUUUUCACUUUUCACCACCUUUUCCCUUUACUCAGAUGCUUCAUCGAAGAGGUCAUUGGUUCCAGCAGUAUCACACUAAUGGCCAAUAUCCAUCCAUUUGCAUGGCCAAGGUCCACAGGAGCUCAAACUCAUGAACCUCUUGUGACAGCUUUAAUUGCCAAAGACAUGUACAUUUUGUUGUUUGUCAUGGAAAUUGAUGAAUCCAACACCCACAUCUUCAAUAGUGGUCCCAAAGGAUAAAGAAGAAGCCAAAUGGGAGGAUGCUAUCCUAGAUAAAAGAGAGGAAGACAAGUGUUAUUAUAAUAUAGACUUGGGGUGAUGCCAAUGAGUAUAGGUUCAAGUCUAAAAUUAUUAUAAGUUUCUCUCAAUGUUUUGCAUCAGUACUAGAACACAGUGUAGAAGAGUUUGUUUUAUUCUAACAUGAUAAAAAGUAGAUAAGAGGACAAAAACAAGCUACCAACCAAGUGGAUUGGGAACAAAGAAAAAAGGAGAUCCUGUGUUUUGAGUUAGGACAAGAUAUUCCUCAUGGUAAGUUUGACUUACAUUUAUUUUCUCUUUAAUCCCUUCAAUCGAUCUCCUGAAAAAUGAAAGAAAAAAAAAACUUCAGUAAGCCUAAACUUACAAUGUUCUUGUGAUGGUGUGCAAUUAUGAUCUUUCCAUGUCCAUACCAUUUUAUGCUGCCUUCACCACACCUCAGCAUUGACUUAUGUGUGCCUAGUCUCAGCCUAAACCAAAAAAAUGCCUACCAAUCUCUCUUAACUGCAUCUUCUUCUUGGUGCUUUUGUACUGUGCCAUCUGGUUGAUAACACAAACCCACCCCCAUUUCUUCUUCUGAUCAAAUAGUUCCUGUCUCAAAACUAAAGAGAAAAGGUUUCAUGGGUGUGACCUCAUAGCUGAGAAGAACAAGCAUAUCUAUCACAAUCCAAUUUCCUUUUUACCCCACCAUCUGUGAAGAGUGCUGGGACAAUUAGCAUGAGCAGUUUUUGGUGAGCCAUAAUUAAUGUAUACCUAAAUGGCAAGCAUAAGAAACUAUUGACCAUUGGGUGCAGAUCCAACACUUUAGUGGUGGCAGGACAAUCAACCACAAGGCAUGUGGGCUGGGGCUUGGACAGGCCAUGCAAACAAAGUUAAAGAAAAUUAUGUAACAGUACCUGAAGGUCCCAAUCAAUACCUGGCACUCUUGAAGAUCCAACUUUGGUUACACAGGAUUUUAUUGUGCCAACAAAGCCUUCAACAAUGAAAAUUCCUUCAGCAUAGAUAAAACAGUUUAAUCAUCAAUACAAAUUUUUGAAGGAAAAAAGAACUUGCAGUUUUAGUGUGCUAAGUUGAGCAGAUACACAGGUUCACAAAAGACAGCUUGUAAGAAACUCUUUUUAAGUUUGUUUGAUACAAGUGUGGUAGUUAGUGCAUCAUUGCAAACUGCAAAAUUGUGUACUUCAUUACAUUAAACUAGCAAAACUUAUCAGAAUUACUUCUGUUACCUGAGAUAUGGCUGAUCCACAACUUUCAUUAUAAGGUAAACUUGAUGUGCAAACCACCAAGAGAAAUGUAACAGAGAAGAGAGAUAGUAGAACAUCAAAAGAGAAAGGAAGGCAAUUGCCUGAACAUUUUUGCAGGUUCAUAGAAAAAACACCAAAAUGUUGCAAGAAAAAGACUCCAUGAAGGUGCUGGAUUUCAUCUCCCAUUAAUUUAUAGGAAUGGUUCUUAAACUUCCUUGAGUUGCCUCCUCCUGAAUUUUAAAGUUGAAAACCAUACUUUAGGUUGCUUCUUCAUGACUAACUCAAACUGGAGGGCAGGGGCAAGUGCAUAGUAGAGUCAUGACAAACCCCAAUAGCAACCUUAUUUCCCAUGUUCUUGCUAAUCUGGCAAUUUAACCUUUUGGAUGAUUAAGAAAGAUCUUGAAAUCAACAUGUCAAGGACACAAACUAUCUUUUCAUUUCAAACCAUGAAUCCAGCCUAUUCAAUCUAGAAACAACAAAAACAUGAUUCAAGAUUAAACAAGAAGGUGCAUCAUAAUUUGUGCCUGCAUAUCAUAAAACAGACUUCAGCUACAUAUUUAUCUUAACAAAAAAUCAAUAAAGUAACUGGGAUUCCUAAUUUGUUUGACCUAUAUAUUACAAUGUAAUAGUUCUGCAGACUGCUUAGUAACUGUGCAGAAGUUACCACCAUUAUGACAUGAACACAUCACUGUUGGAAGCAAUACUAUACACUCAAGAUGUCCAUUGUCUCAUAAUGGAAUGAGGCUUGACUAGAGAUAAAUCUAGAGAUGAAAGGAAGACUAGCAUAAUGGGUUUGCAAUAAAAGAUAUCAAGUUGAACUUUUGAGCAGACAUGCCUAUUUCAAUUUAGCAAAGGUUAACAGCUAUCAAUCAAGCUGAAACUGAUAUGACCCAGAUUAGAUUCAAUGAUACUGUUCCAAGUUCUUAGACUGAACAAAACU